GCACUCAUAGCUCAGUUGGUAGAGCGUUCGAUUCACAUUCGAAAGGUCCCUGGUCCGAGUCCAGGUGAGUGCA
rnacentral:tRNA from 1 species